ACGGGAGUGGCAAGCGUUAUCCGGAAUUAUUGGGCGUAAAGCGUCCGCAGGCGGCCCAACAAGUCUGCUGUUAAAAAGUGGAGCUUAACUCCAUCAUGGCAGUGGAAACUGUUGGGCUAGAGUGUGGUAGGGGCAGAGGGAAUUCCCGGUGUAGCGGUGAAAUGCGUAGAUAUCGGGAAGAACACCAGUGGCGAAGGCGCUCUGCUGGGCCAUCACUGACGCUCAUGGACGAAAGCCAGGGGAGCGAAAGGG
rnacentral:rRNA from 1 species